rnacentral:lncRNA from 1 species
GUUGUUAUCCAGCCGCAGCAGAGAACGGAUCGGCAAUAUGCUCCCAUCUGUUUUCCUCUUAUUAUCUGGCAUAACGCUGGGAAGUAAGUUUUGCUUGAGUCAUCUGUGAACUAUUUCAUUUUCAAUUCCUAUUUGCAGAUGCAUUGGGCAGCAAAUCAUUUGGUUGUGUGAAUGCAAACAGUGAUCAGGAAUCUUACUUUUGGCUUGGAACCAAGCCUGCUCCGGCGUUGCCAUCACCUCUCGCAACAUACUGGCGCCGGCGCACUGUGUGAUCUGGCAGCACGAAAAAGACUACAGCUUCAGGACCAGAGGUGAAACCCAUCACAUCGGGCGGAUUUUCAUUCAUCCGAGAUACACUUUCGACCGCUCUGAUAACGAUAUCGCUGUGCUACAGCUGGG